UACGAAGGGGGCUAGCGUUGUUCGGAAUUACUGGGCGUAAAGCGCGUGUAGGCGGGUCUUUAAGUCAGGGGUGAAAUGCCAAGGCUCAACCUUGGAACUGCCUUUGAUACUGGAGAUCUUGAGUCCGGGAGAGGUGAGUGGAAUUGCGAGUGUAGAGGUGAAAUUCGUAGAUAUUCGCAAGAACACCAGUGGCGAAGGCGGGUCUCUGGACAGUUCCUGACGCUGAGGCACGAAGGCCAGGGGAGCAAACAGG
rnacentral:rRNA from 1 species